AUACCCAAAAUUUAUGCGGGAGAAUUCUCUCUCUUUCAAAAUGUUAAAUCAUUCGAAAGUUUUCUAAAACCCCUCUUUUCUGAAUAACAUUUCAUAGCCCCUCUUUCUUUUGCCCAUCACUCUCACACGGCUAAACCUAGGAAAAAAUCCAAUAUCCCUACCUCAUUUGCUCCAUCCCAGCCAUCUCUCUCUCUCCCCCCUCUUUCCAUGGCAAAUCUGGUUGAUUUAAGUGCUGAGCUUGUGUGUUCUCCUCCAUGACAGAGCUUCUAGUUUCUUUUAGAUAUUGGGUGACAAGAGGAUUGGUUUACUUGUUUUCUUGCUAUGGAUGAAGAAUGGGAAGACAGCAAUUUGACAGGAACUUCAAGUUUUGUAGAAAGUGUUUGACAUUCUAAUAUUCCACAAUUGGACGAAGACUUUGAAAUGCAACUACUCAAGUUUUUAGAUCAGACAAGGAUUUUGAAGUGUUAUUAGACUAUGCAUAUUACAAUUUCCAUGCUAUUUCCAUCUGGAUAAAUGUAACUUGAUAAUGAAUCUAUCGAUAUGUAUGGAGUUAUUUUGUGAAUGAAAACUCCUUAUUAAUGGGUA